rnacentral:rRNA from 1 species
UACAGAGGUCUCAAGCGUUGUUCGGAUUCAUUGGGCGUAAAGGGUGCGUAGGUGGCGCGCUAAGUCAGGUGUGAAAUUUCGGAGCUUAACUCCGAAACUGCAUUGGAUACUAUCCGGCUUGAGGAAUGGAGGGGAGACUGGAAUACUUGGUGUAGCAGUGAAAUGCGUAGAUAUCAAGUGGAACACCAGUGGCGAAGGCGAGUCUCUGGACAUUUCCUGACGCUGAGGCACGAAAGCCAGGGGAGCAAACGGG